rnacentral:rRNA from 1 species
CCAAUAGCGUAUAUUAAAGUUGUUGCAGUUAAAAAGCUCGUAGUUGAAUUUCGGGGUUCAUCCGUUGGUCGGGCUUUUUGGUCUGUACUGGCGUGAUGGAUUCCUACCUUCUGAAUAACCGGCAUGUCAUUAAUUUGGUGCGCCGGGGAAGCAGGACUGUUACCUUGAAAAAAUUAGAGUGCUUAAAGCAGGCUAUCGCCUGAAUACAUUAGCAUGGAAUAAUGAAAUAGGACGGCAUGGUUCUAUUUUGUUGGUUUCUAGGAUCACCGUAAUGAUUAAUAGGGAUAGUUGGGGGCAUUAGUAUUCAAUUGUCAGAGGUGAAAUUCUUGGAUGUAUUGAAGACUAACUUCUGCGAAAGCAUUUGCCAAGGAUGUUUUCAUUAAUCAAGAACGAAAGUUAGGGGAUCGAAGACGAUCAGAUACCGUCGUAGUCUUAACCAUAAACGAUGCCGACUAGGGAUCGGACGAUGUUAAUUUUUUAAUGACUCGUUCGGCGCCUUACG